CACGUAGGGUGCGAGCGUUGUCCGGAAUUAUUGGGCGUAAAGAGCUCGUAGGCGGCCUGUCGCGUCGGUUGUGAAAGCCCGGGGCUUAACCCCGGGUCUGCAGUCGAUACGGGCAGGCUAGAGUUCGGUAGGGGAGAUCGGAAUUCCUGGUGUAGCGGUGAAAUGCGCAGAUAUCAGGAGGAACACCGGUGGCGAAGGCGGAUCUCUGGGCCGAUACUGACGCUGAGGAGCGAAAGCGUGGGGAGCGAACAGG
rnacentral:rRNA from 1 species